rnacentral:rRNA from 1 species
GACGAACGCUGGCGGCGUGCUUAACACAUGCAAGUCGAACGGAAAGGCCCUGCUUUUGUGGGGUGCUCGAGUGGCGAACGGGUGAGUAACACGUGAGUAACCUGCCCUUGACUUUGGGAUAACUUCAGGAAACUGGGGCUAAUACCGGAUAGGAGCUCCUGCUGCAUGGUGGGGGUUGGAAAGUUUCGGCGGUUGGGGAUGGACUCGCGGCUUAUCAGCUUGUUGGUGGGGUAGUGGCUUACCAAGGCUUUGACGGGUAGCCGGCCUGAGAGGGUGACCGGCCACAUUGGGACUGAGAUACGGCCCAGACUCUUACGGGAGGCAGCGGUGGGGAAUAUUGCACAAUGGGCGGAAGCCUGAUGCAGCAACGCCGCGUGCGGGAGGACGGCCUUCGGGUUGUAAACCGCUUUCGCCUGUGACGAAGCGUGAGUGACGGUAAUGGGUAAAGAAGCACCGGCUAACUACGU